rnacentral:pre_miRNA from 1 species
AAAAUACUCCCUCCGUCCGGAAAUACUUGUCAUCAAAAUGGAUAAAAGGAAAUGUAUCUAGAUGUAUUUUAGUUUUAGAUACAUCUCUUUUUAUCCAUUUUGAUGACAAGUAUUUUCGGACGGAGGGAGUAUUUA